rnacentral:misc_RNA from 1 species
CCUGCCUAGCAGAGCGACCCGAGAACUCGUUUAAAAACCGAAGGGCCGUUCCGGAGAGGGCUCGGCGGCCCGGCCUCGGCCGGUGCCCGACGUCCCUCGACGGCGCGAGCCAACAACAAUCCCCGGCGCGAGCUGCGCCAAGGAAACCGCAAAAGAGGGUGGGGCUCCGGGGCCUCCGGAGACGGAGCGCGCCUCGGGAGAUCCCAUCCUCCUUGUAACAGUCGAAAUAAAAACGACUCUCGACAACGGAUAUCUCGGCUCUCGCAUCGAUGAAGAACGUAGCGAAAUGCGAUACUUGGUGUGAAUUGCAGAAUCCCGUGAACCAUCGAGUCUUUGAACGCAAGUUGCGCCCCAAGCCGUUAGGCCGAGGGCACGUCUGCCUGGGUGUCACACAUCGUCGCCCCCAAACAUCCACGCCUCCAGGGGCGUGGCGGGCGGA